rnacentral:lncRNA from 10 species
CUCGGAGAGCGGGGGCGGGACCAGGAGGGCGAGGGGCGGGGCCUGAGGCUCGAGUCGCGGCGCCUGGGGCGGUGGCCGCCGGACCAAAGCUGGCCUCUCCCGGCUCCUCCUCCUCGCUCCCCAAGGCCUUUCCCACCGCGUCAUUGUCUCGGUUUAUCUGCAGAUACGUCUACCUAGCAGUCAGCCCAGCAGCGUAAGUGGUGACCAGUGUGGGCCUCUUUGAUCCUGAGACCGAAGGCUCGGCCACUGGCCCUCUCCAUUUGUUCCUUGUUGCCCUCCCUUCAUGAUUCAAUCCAUUAAUUAGGACUUUUCCUACCAGCUGGCAGUUCAGAGCUCCGCAUCCCCAGGCCUCUGAGUCACAGUUCCUGCCUUCAUGAAACUAGGAGUUGGGGCCACUGCAUUCUACUCCUUCGGGACUAUUGUUUCAUUUCUCAGUCCCUCAAACCCUUUAUUGGAUGAACAUGGGGUUAGGACAGCGGUUCUCCACUGCAACAGUUUUGCCUCCCAGGAGACAUUUGGCAAUGUAUGAAUCAUUUUCAGCCUCUCAUCUGGGGUGAGAUGUCAUUGGAAUCUACAGAUGGUGGAGGGCACAGGCUCACACCACGGCUCUGUACCAAGGGCUUGGACCCGCCUGCAGCCAGACGGCAUCUCACUAGAUGUCAUCAUCAUCAAAGAGAUCUUCAAAACCAUUUAAAAAGUCUACAUGAACAGCCUUUUCAUUAGUUGCCAAGUCCAUCAAGAACCUGGUGCUGCCUCCCGCCUCGUCCAGGUCCACGUAGGGCCCGGCGCCCUUGGAAACAUCUCAUCCACGGCCAGCUACAUCUUGGGCUGCGGCGCUCUAGGCCCACUUCCGGCCACGGGGCCGCUUCCUAUUUUUCUAUUUUUUAACAACUCCCCAUAUUAAUAUUCAUUCACUCAUUGACUGUUAAGCCCUUCUAUGUAUCAGGAAUUGUUCUAGGUACUAGGACAUAUCAGUUAAGAAAACAUUUGUUAAUCCUUGCCUUCAUGUAGUUUAUUAGAUUGUGAACAGAUCAGAAAAAAACAUGUAAAAAAUUAUAAAAUGUUAGGUGAUCAAAGUUAUGGUGAAAAACAGGAAAGGGAAGAGGCAGAAGGAGUGUUGAGGUGCAGUGUUAAAUAGAGUAGUCAGAGAAGACCUCUCUGAAAUGUCAUUUGAGUUAAAUUCUGAAAGGUGUGAGGAAGUCAGCCUUGUGACUAUGUCUAGAGGAAGAGCAUUCCAAGAAAAUAAAACUGUCAGAGUGGCUUGGUGAUGCCUGAAAAUGCAUUUUACUAUUUUUGUACACGUCUGAAAUUUUCCAUGAAACAAGUUAAAAAAAAAAGUAGCCCUGGUAAAAGGGAGGUUGAAGCGGGCGGAUCACUUGAGGUCAGGAGUUGGA